UACGAAGGGGGCUAGCGUUGCUCGGAAUCACUGGGCGUAAAGCGCACGUAGGCGGAUUGUUAAGUCAGGGGUGAAAUCCUGGAGCUCAACUCCAGAACUGCCUUUGAUACUGGCGAUCUCGAGUCCGGGAGAGGUGAGUGGAACUGCGAGUGUAGAGGUGAAAUUCGUAGAUAUUCGCAAGAACACCAGUGGCGAAGGCGGCUCACUGGGGCUUUUCUGACGCUGAGGAACGAAAGCCAGGGUAGCGAACGGG
rnacentral:rRNA from 1 species